GCGGAUAUGGUUUAGUGGUAAAAUGCGUCCUUGCCAAGGAUGAGUCGGGAGUUCGAUUCUCCCUAUCCGCACAA
rnacentral:tRNA from 1 species